GGACGUGCGGCGAGCGGGCCCUUGGCUCUGAAGGCGGCUGGUUGGGACGAAGGCGGCUGAUUGGGAUGGAGGCGGAGCAGCUCAAAACUUUGCACAAGUGCUCUGGAACUUGGAGAGCAGAGGGAUGGCUGUGGCUUGGGGAAGAUGGAGAAAUUCAAGUUGGCAGAAUCAGGAAGGGACAGUUUCAUGAUCAGCCAGCAAAUCCCCGUUUGGCCGUGACCCCUUCUCUUCGCCUAAGGGCUGAUGCAAUCAAGGACCAGUGUGUGCCUCCGUCAUUGCCAACUUCCCCUGAUGCAGCAACUUCGGAGGUCAUGUGUCCCAUAUGUUGUGGUUAGAAAUGCAUGAGGUGUGGCUGCUAAUGCAUGAGAUUAAAACAACCUGCAUUUGUGUUAAGUUGCUGAGACUUCAGAGUUUAUUUGUUACUGCGGCAAAACCUAACCUAUUCUGAUUACAACUAUAUCUGAGGGUCCUUCCUUUCUCUAUCACAAACUUCAAAGUAAGAUGCACUUUUUCUCAAAAUUCCUUUCAGAUAAUCAAUUCCUUCUUGGACAGAAGUGUGUCUAGAUUAGCAUUCCUCUUGCCGCAUUCUUCGGCCUCUGGGAGAUGAAUUUCCCAAUAAAGCAAAUCAAGAACUUAAUCAGAUGCUUUCAUUUUGGCCAGAUAUUCCAGAUAUAAAGAUCAAUUAGCUGUGAAAACAAGAUAGCCAAUAAAAGUUGGUACUGUCGAAUGAACAUCCCAGAAACAAAUCAUAUAAUUACAUUAAAAAUCUAACAUUUGUAGGGUGCUUUACAGUUUUUCAAGGCAUUUUUUUAUAAACAUAAAUAUAAGCAUCUAAUAUGAUGUGAGACUGACUUAUUAUGCAUGCAGAUGGUCCUUUGCAAAGGUCUUGUGCCUAAUGCAUAAUAGUCUCCCUUCCUUUGGUAUGAACUCCUGGCUGCUGGAGAGGAUGGGCCCCUGAUUAGAGCAAUUCUGGCCCAGAGGUUGCUCAAAGCAUGGUGGCUCACCUGGGCGAGAAGGAGCAGCCUGAGAGAGCCUGGACUCAGGAGCAGAACCUGGAGGCUGAGAGAAGCAGGUAUUCCUAUAGCAUACUUCCAUGGAACCUUCCUGAAGUCAUCUUGCCAGGUCCAUCAUGUGUUAAGGCAUUGUAGUGGGAGUCACAGGGAAGAGGUGGCAAAGAGCUCCACUUGCCCUUAACAGGCCUGGAACUUGCGGGCAAGACUUGUGCAGAUGACGGUAGAACAAGUGGAAUAAAAGAAGUGCUGUGAUAGAGACAGGAACAGACCGACGGGGAGGGAGGGACCGAAGCAAACCCAGAGAAUUAGGGAAGCCUUCCUGGAGGCUGCAUUUUAGCUCUUGAAGAAUUAGAUUUAGGAGGUGGAGAGCAGGUAGUCCUGGCUGAGGAAACUGGGUUAGCAAAAGCAUAAGGCAUAUUAUCAUAUUAAGUGAAAUAAGUCAGACAGAGAAAGACAAAUACAUGAUAGCACUUAAAUGUGGAAUCUAAA